CUCACAUCUUGGAUGGAUUUGCCUUAUACGUAUUAGGAGGUGAAUAUAAGUUUCUUAUUCUUGAGAAAAGAAAGAAAUAUCCACUUCAGUGUUUUGGGAUUUGAAUUAUUCUAUCUUCCUAAUCAAACCGUAAUCGUUAGACCUCACUUCAGGCCGUCCACUAUAUACAGGCCUUUUCAUUUUUGGCCCUUUCGCUUUAUCUCUUCGUUGUACGUUGGUUACAUCUUGACGAUUAGCUUAUUGUUACCUUUGUUACGGUACUACAAGAAGUCUCUGACAACCAGAAAAUCAUUGAUUACAACUAUAAUACUUACCACAGAAUCUCAAGAUUAUUUAUGAACACACCAGAUCUCUACAAAGUUUCGAACGAAGAGAAUAUCCAUUGAAGAAAGAUAUACGCUGGCAACACCUUGAUCAGGCGAGCUCUUUCCAUUAUUUCUAUUGCUUUACUUAUAUUAAUAUUACACCUCUUGUUGCUUGUCAAUUAUCCUGUUUAUUAGUUACAUUUGAAUGCUGCUUUUUGGCUGUGAAGCCUUAUCUACCAGUGAUUCUGGAAGAAAAAAUACAACUAACUAAAUAUCACAACUCUGAAAUUAUAUUUACUUACCACUUACUAGUUUAUAUAUAUGUAAACUCUGAUGUAUAUAUACAUAGGGGUAUCAAAUGAUCAUGUCCUUCUCCCCAUGCUGAUUGAAUGUGAAUGUAGUUAAGUCUACUUGCAACUUGCACAACGAAUAAAUCCACUUCCUAUCA